UGGACCAUUCCCACGCCUGGCUGAACUCUUA
rnacentral:piRNA from 2 species